rnacentral:rRNA from 1 species
CAGUCGCCGCGGUAAAACGUGGGUGGCAGGCGUUGUCCGGAAUUAUUGGGCGUAAAGGGCUCGCAGGCGGUUUCUUAAGUCUGAUGUGAAAGCCCCCGGCUCAACCGGGGAGGGUCAUUGGAAACUGGGAAACUUGAGUGCAGAAGAGGAGAGUGGAAUUCCACGUGUAGCGGUGAAAUGCGUAGAGAUGUGGAGGAACACCAGUGGCGAAGGCGACUCUCUGGUCUGUAACUGACGCUGAGGAGCGAAAGCGUGGGGAGCGAACAGGAUUAGAUACCCCAGUAGUCCCUGUCUCUUAUAC